rnacentral:rRNA from 1 species
UACGGAGGAUGCAAGCGUUAUCCGGAAUGAUUGGGCGUAAAGCGUCCGCAUGUGGCUAUGUAAGUCUGCUGUUAAAGAGUGAGGCUCAACCUCAUAAAAGCAGUGGAAACUACAUGGCUAGAGUGCGUUCGGGGCAGAGGGAAUUCCUGGUGUAGCGGUGAAAUGCGUAGAGAUCAGGAAGAACACCGGUGGCGAAAGCGCUCUGCUAGGCCGCAACUGACACUGAGGGACGAAAGCUAGGGGAGCGAAUGGG